rnacentral:rRNA from 1 species
GUCUACGGCCAUACCACCCUGAACGCACCCGAUCUCGUCUGAUCUCGGAAGAAUUGAAAUGGGCCCAGCUGGUUUGACUCAGUGGAUA